rnacentral:rRNA from 1 species
AUUGAACGCUGGCGGCAUGCCUUACACAUGCAAGUCGAACGGCAGCAUGGAGAGCCUGCUCUCUGAUGGCGAGUGGCGAACGGGUGAGUAAUGCAUCGGAACGUACCGUGUAAUGGGGGAUAACGUAGCGAAAGUUACGCUAAUACCGCAUACGACCUGAGGGUGAAAGCAGGGGAUCGCAAGACCUUGCGUUAUACGAGCGGCCGAUGUCAGAUUAGCUAGCUGGUGAGGUAAAGGCUCACCAAGGCGACGAGCUGUAGCGGGUAUGAGAGGAGAAUCCGCCACACUGGGACUGAGACACGGCCCAGACUCCUACGGGAGGCAGCAGUGGGGAAUUUUGGACAAUGGGGGCAACCCUGAUCCAGCCAUGCCGCGUGAGUGAAGAAGGCCUUCGGGUUGUAAAGCUCUUUCGGCCGGGAAGAAAUCGCACAGGCUAAUACUCUGUGUGGAUGACGGUACCGGCAUAAGAAGCACCGGCUAACUACGUGCCAGCAGCCGCAGUAA